CCCUACGGGAGGCAGCAGUGGGGAAUAUUGCACGAUGGGGGAAACCCUGAUGCAGCGACGCCGCGUGAGUGAAGAAGUAUUUCGGUAUGUAAAGCUCUAUCAGCAGGGAAGAAAAUGACGGUACCUGAUUAAGAAGCCCCGGCUAACUACGUGCCAGCAGCCGCGGUAAUACGUAGGGGGCAAGCGUUAUCCGGAUUUACUGGGUGUAAAGGGAGCGUAGACGGCAGCACAAGUCUGGAGUGAAAUGCCGGGGCUCAACCCCGGCCUGCCGUUGAAACUGGCGGCCUCGAGUGGGCGAGAAGUAU
rnacentral:rRNA from 1 species